GUGGGGAAUUUUGGACAAUGGGGGCAACCCUGAUCCAGCCAUGCCGCGUGCGGGAAGAAGGCCUUCGGGUUGUAAACCGCUUUUGUCAGGGAAGAAAUCCUUUGGGUUAAUACCUCGGAGGGAUGACGGUACCUGAAGAAUAAGCACCGGCUAACUACGUGCCAGCAGCCGCGGUAAUACGUAGGGUGCGAGCGUUAAUCGGAAUUACUGGGCGUAAAGCGUGCGCAGGCGGUUUUGUAAGAUCGAUGUGAAAUCCCCGGGCUCAACCUGGGAACUGCAUUGGUGACUGCAAGGCUGGAGUGCGGCAGAGGGGGAUGGAAUUCCGCGUGUAGCAGUGAAAUGCGUAGAUAUGCGGAGGAACACCGAUGGCGAAGGCAAUCCCCUGGGCCUGCACUGACGCUCAUGUACGAAAGCGUGGGGAGCAAACAGGAUUAGAAACCCCAGUAGUCC
rnacentral:rRNA from 1 species